GUCUAGUUAAAUAUGAAUCUCAGAUAUGCGACAAAUUAUUUUUUUAGUAUAAGUGUGUCCCAUAUAAUAUUUGGGACAUACUUAUACUAAAAAAUUAUUCAUUGAAUAUCUGAAAUUCAAAUUUAACUGGGAGUCCUGUA
rnacentral:miRNA from 1 species